rnacentral:rRNA from 1 species
UAAUAUGAGCAUUACUAGGGUAAUUUGAAGGAUUAUGUUUUUUUAAUAAAAUCAUUUUUAUUUAUGUGUAGUUUUAGUAUAGGAUAUAGAGAAAAUUAUUAGAGUGGUAGAUUAAUUGUAUUGUGAAAGGUUUGUGAAAUAUGUUGAAAAUGUAAUUUUUGUGAAGUAGAUUUAGUUUAUUGUACCUUGUGUAUCAGGGUUUAUUAAAAAAUUUAUAAAGAUUUUGUAAUUCCCGAUUUAAAGAGAGCUAAUUGAUUAUGAUGGUUAAUGUGGAAUAAUUAUUAUAAAUAAUUAAUUAGUAAUGAAACGUUAUUCGUUCUUUAAGAUAUCUGGUUUUUUAAGAAAUGAAUUUAAUUCAGGUGUUAUUGGUGUAAUUUUAUUUUUAUAAGAGUAUUCUCACAAUUUUAACACUAAUAUUUCUGGGGAUAAGCUUAGGAGUAUAAUUUAAAAUUUGUAUUUAUUUUUUGGGGUGUUGUAGGCUUAGAAUUUGCCAUCAAUUUAAGGAUGUUAUAGUUUAGCCUCAUAUUUAUAGAUAAUUUUAUCGGGGUUUAAAUAGUUUAUUAAAAUGUUAUUUUUAAUUUAAUUUAAUUAGUAAUAAUGAUAGAAUUAGUAUAAAGUGUUGUUUUUAUUUAGUGAGUUGUGAGGUUACAUUAAGGAAUUCGGCAAAUUAAUGCUCGCCUGUUUAACAAAAACAUGUCCUCUUGUGUAGAAUCUGAGGUCUGACCUGCCCACUGAGAUAAAUCUUGAAGGGCCGCGGUAUUUUGACCGUGCAAAGGUAGCAUAAUCAUUAGUCUUUUAAUUGAAGGCUAGAAUGAAUGGUUGGACGAGGUAUUGACUGUCUCUGUGUAAAUGAGAUUAGAAUUUAACUUUUGAGUGAAAAGGCUCAAAUGGCUUUAAAGGACGAGAAGACCCUAUAGAGCUUUAUAAUUGAUUUUUUAUAGUUUGUUUAGUAGAAUUUUAAUUAUAAUAAAAAAAUUAUUUUGUUGGGGUGACAGGAAGAUAUAAUAAACUCUUUUUAUAUAUGAAACAUUUAUGUAUGAAUUAUUGAUCCAUUAUUAAUGAUUAAAAGUCUAAGUUACCUUAGGGAUAACAGCGUAAUCUUUUUCGAGAGUUCUUAUCGACAAAAAGGGUUGCGACCUCGAUGUUGGAUUAAGGGUAAUUUUGGGUGUAGAUGUUCAAAGUUUAGGUCUGUUCGACCUUUAAAUCCUUACAUGAUCUGAGUUCAGACCGGUGUAAGCCAGGUCGGUUUCUAUCCUUAAUUUGUUAUGGUGUUUUAGUACGAAAGGACCAGACACUGAGAAUAUUGUUCUUCAGGCUUGAUUGAUAGUAAUAAAGAU